rnacentral:rRNA from 1 species
AUGACCCCAGGUCAGUCGGGA